rnacentral:rRNA from 1 species
CGCGGCCUAUCAGCUUGUUGGCGGGGUAACGGCCCACCAAGGCAACGACGGGUAGCUGGUUUGAGAGAACGAUCAGCCACACUGGAACUGAGACACGGUCCAGACUUCUACGGAAGGCAGCAGUAGGGAAUCUUGCGCAAUGGGCGAAAGCCUGACGCAGCGACGCCGCGUGCGGGAUGACGGCCCUAGUGGUUGUAAACCGCUUUCAGCAGGGACGAAAAUGACGGUACCUGCAGAAGAAGUCCCGGCUAACUACGUGCCAGCAGCCGCGGUAAUACGUAGGGGACAAGCGUUGUCCGGACUCAUUGGGCGUAAAGAGCUCGUAGGCGGUUCAGUAAGUUGGGUGUGAAAGCUCCGGGCUCAACCCGGAGAGGCCACUCAAUACUGCUGUGACUAGAGUCCAGUAGAGGAGCGUGGAACUCCUGGUGUAGCGGUGAAAUGCGCAGAUAUCAGGAAGAACACCGGCAGCGAAGGCGGCGCUCUGGGCUGGUACUGACGCUGAGGAGCGAAAGCAUGGGUAGCAAACAGGAUUAGAUACCCUGGUAGUCCAUGCCGUAAACGUUGGGCACUAGGUGUGGGGAGGAAUCAACCCUCUCCGUGCCGUAGCUAACGCAUUAAGUGCCCCGCCUGGGGAGUACGG